UUCCUUGUUGCGCUCGUCUACGGGAGUUCCAUUAGAGCUAGAGUUUCUUGAAUAGCUUACUAUGUGUGUUUUCUUCUCAGCCAAGCCUGGCACUGAGAAAGCAGGAUUUCAGCGACGUGGAGAGAUCGACAGUGCGGCUGCUGGUGGGGAGAGAUCGACCGUUGUUUCCUCUCGAUUCUAGCAGCAGCAAUCUCCUCGUGGAGCUCCUGCUCUCCACAGCAGGAGCAGCAGCAUUUGGGGCUGGGACUGGGGUACAUUAUGCCACAAGUGACUGCUUUCCCUCGCUCAAGUGCCAGCAAUAGCAUUUUCAUUCUGGCAAAAGCAAAGCUCGUAUUGUGGCUCGUGGCAAUGGGGGUCCAAGGUCCUACUGGACGAAUCAAAACGAGAACCAGCAAGCAAUCACAAGGUUUCGCCAUGGAUGCCACAGGAAGAAAUCCCUUCUUCUACCGUCUUUCGGCAGCUCCAGGACGACGCAGCCAUGGUGAUCUUGGAGAAGGGUGACUAUCUCAUGAUGCAGAACCUAGGAAAGUCAGCCAUCAAGUUUAAGACGGAGUCAUCCUGGCAAUCAAGUUCAAGGCGUAGUUGAGACCACUCCGGUUCAUCAGCUAUUUCCAGACAACUUCACUUUUUUAAUAUAUGAUUUCAAGCAGAGUCUUCAGCCAAUGUGGAGUUCUCCACGACCACGGCCAUCAAGAGUUCUCGAUGGGCGAGUGCCAUCAAACACAAGGCUGCUGAGUCUGAGUGUUACAAGCACAAUAAGGUGGUCUCAAUUUCCUUGAGAGGUAUUUCAUAUGUCUCAAAGAACGCUCAAAAGAAAUACGAUAAAAUAAAAUUAAGAUACUAUAAA